CAACUGUUGUUUUUAAACGCGUAGGUCACGGUCACACGGCACAGAUGUUGAAGCUAAGAAUCUGACAUUAUCAGCAUACUGUUGCAAUUUUACAAACGUGCAGAGUUUAUGGUGAGCAUUUGGCAAAUAGUCAAAUAAGUCCGUUUACGCAACGUUUUCUUUGUUUCUCGAUUACCCCAAUAGUAUAUGUGUUAUCGGUGGGUAUCCCGUUAAUCCUACACGUGGUUAAGUGCAACAGUCAAGUCAAGGAAGUGUGAAAGUCGUGGAAGAAUUUCACAUUAGUGAAAUGAGUUACAGAUUCUUUCACUUGCAUUGGAUGCUUCCCCCAUGUUGGAAGAGGAGCAAUUGCUAGAAGAUUUUAUUCUGUGAGUUUAAUUGGGCCAACAUCACAUAGCUCAAAUAUGUAGUCUACACCUUUAAGUUUAAGUACAGUGUGACUGUUGGAGUGACCUUGUGCUUGUGAAGAAUCCAGUGCAGAAUUAAAUUUUUUUUUUCCAAAAACAGUGCUUUGCCUGAAAUGUCACUAAUUGCAAUCUUCUGCCUACGUUAACAUGUGUCACUUUCACAUCAGGCAAGAAAAUAUUGCUGCUGAAGAAAAUGCUAUACAGUGAGAAGAAACUAGAAAAACAGAUAUUGUUGUCAAAAGGUUAGGAUUAUCAUCAUACAGCCCAGUUUUCACCUGCCGCUCCAGCCAAUCUCCCUAACAUGAGCAACAAGAUUGUUGAGUAAGAUGUUUGCAACUCUUGAUUACUCUGAAAUCUGGUUCCUUACACAUUGUUGUUGAACAAACUGCCAGCCAGGAAAAAAUUAGGACACGAGCUAUCACUUCCACUCAAUAAAAACCAGGCGUCAGAGGACGGAGACACCACACAAGUUCGCACAAUAACCAUUCCGUCAUAAUGUUGCUGACUGUUCGUCCCAUGUUGUUGCGAUCGCCUGCCAUUUCCAUGCAUUCUAUUUGGGUUAGGAUGCUUUUCUUCUGUCUGGCACGAUUCACAUUCGAUUUCAACGGCAAAAGAGCGAAACAGAAGACGGAUAAAGAACUAAAAAAGGAAAUGCAUGGAAUACAUAUCGUCCAUAAUACCAAAAGUUUAACGUACCAAAUCUGGAAAGGAAUAUAGUGGCGAAUUUUGUCUUUCCGGCCGAUGGAAUUGGCGUUUGCAACUCACCUUUUGCGAAGUCUUGGACAAGCGGAUCAAGAGCUGGAUCCUGGCGAAUCUUCGUUCAGACUUUAGAGAAAGAAGAAGAAGCGGAAAGUAGAAUGCUGCGUUCAUCAUAACUGCGUGAAAAUUGGAUUUACUCUAACAAAUCGACACAAGAACCUCUAUCGUCUCGAACGCACAGUAUUAACGUGUAGUUAUCCCUCUUGAUGUACCCAAAACGGUCAGGAAAGUCACACAUUUCGUACGAUUACGCAAGAUAGUGAAAACGCCCUGAUUGUCAAAUAGAAAUGGGUAGAUCAAGAUAGCUUGGAACUUUUAGUAAUUAAAUAGUGCCACCAGAGACUUUGUGAUCGGGAGGGAAACCGAAACUCGAAGUUUUACGCCCAACGUACUACCCAUCAGCUGAAAAACACCACUUAUACACCUUUCUUUGGCAUAUGAAAUGGAAUCGUGGAUGCUGAUGAUAAACUAUCAUGAACUCUUGGUGAAAGUUGGUUUUAACUAACUGGAAAGAGACUCGACACUUCGCCAGUGUAGAAAUAGCUGGAUGUCUCAAGUAUAGCACCAACUCCACAAUUUGGAAUGAUCGUCAUCUCCCUUAUAAUUUUACUUUUACGAACAGUAGUGUUCGUGACAAAAUGCCACUCCGCAGCACCACCGUGGAAGAUUGUCCGACCAAGGCAGCUCUACAGGGCAAACCAGUGCCGAAAAUGGAAACAAGUAAAAAAAAAUCUUUCUUUGCGUUUGCUUAUCGGCACUGCCAUAUUCGUCGGUUGACGAAAUGUUGGCCCUAGUUUUGCAACGGAUUCAUCAUGGAAUGAAUGAUUCGAAGAACUUCUGCGUUUACCAGGACCUGGUCUGAAAGGCAUAUAAUUUCUAAGUGUUAACCUUAUUUUUCAUCUCUAUUCUAUAAAUUAACCGUAGAUUGAAAGUAAUCGGUUUCGAAUUGACCUGCGACGAACUCGCCCUAAAAAAUUUGCGCAAAGUAAACCCUCUUAUACAGAAACAAGUUAAGAUUUUGUUAAGGUGAAAAUCCUGAUUGAAAUUCAUUAGCACAUUUAGGGAGGUGAAGUAGUUUCCCGCGACAGGUUCCGUGAAUUUCCCCCUUUUAUCAUUUAUUGGCAUCUUCCAGUUGGGAAGUUAAGUGUCGAAGUGACUCACAAUAAUAGGCCCGUUUCAUUUAAUCCUAUCGAAGGGAAGGGAACUCUAACUCAAACACAGAUAACCUGCACAGUCACAGGCGGGAAAUAAUUCUUUUCUUCAGAAAAUUGUAAGUUCUUUUUUUGUCUGGACCUUCCAUACCCCCAAUCUCAUCAGAUUUAUUUGUAUGUGAUGUGUAUCUGAUUAUUCAUUUCUCGUGAGUCGUGAACUCGUGAUGUUAAGCUUCGGAAACAGAGUUCGGAUUCGGUUCGGAAAGCAAUCCAUCCGUUCCGUACAGUCAAAUGUGGUAAUCGUGAGGGAAUCUUUUGGCUGUCGGUAGGUGGCUAAAAUGGAUUGUCCCCCAUCCGCCAGGUGACGCAA